UUUUAGCCCCGAUAGUAACGGUUACCCCACAGCAAGCGAUGGAAUUUGCGGUUGCGCGAGGAGUAAUAGUGGAUAGCGGGAUUAAGC
rnacentral:sRNA from 1 species